UCGGGAAUUUUGGGCAAUGGGCGAAAGCCUGACCCAGCAACGCCGCGUGAAGGAUGAAGUAUUUCGGUAUGUAAACUUCGAAAGAAUAGGAAGAAUAAAUGACGGUACUAUUUAUAAGGUCCGGCUAACUACGUGCCAGCAGCCGCGGUAAUACGUAGGGACCAAGCGUUGUUCGGAUUUACUGGGCGUAAAGGGCGCGUAGGCGGCAAUUCAAGUCAUCUGUGAAAUCUCCGGGCUUAACUCGGAACGGUCAGAUGAUACUGCUUUGCUAGAGUGCAGAAGGGGCAAUCGGAAUUCUGGUGUAGCGGUGAAAUGCGUAGAUAUCAAGAGGAACACCUGAGGUGAAGACGGGUUGCUGGGCUGACACUGACGCUGAGGCGCGAAAGCCAGGGGAGCAAA
rnacentral:rRNA from 1 species